GACGAACGCUGGCGGCGUGCCUAAUACAUGCAAGUAGAACGCUGAAGCGAGGAGCUUGCUCUUCUUGGAUGAGUUGCGAACGGGUGAGUAACGCGUAGGUAACCUGCCUGGUAGCGGGGGAUAACUAUUGGAAACGAUAGCUAAUACCGCAUAAAAUGGAUUAUCGCAUGAUAAUCCAUUGAAAGGUGCAAAUGCAUCACUACCAGAUGGACCUGCGUUGUAUUAGCUAGUUGGUGGGUAACGGCUCACCAAGGCGACGAUACAUAGCCGACCUGAGAGGGUGAUCGGCCACACUGGGACUGAGACACGGCCCAGACUCCUACGGGAGGCAGCAGUAGGGAAUCUUCGGCAAUGGACGGAAGUCUGACCGAGCAACGCCGCGUGAGUGAAGAAGGUUUUCGGAUCGUAAAGCUCUGUUGUAAGAGAAGAACGAGUGUGAGAGUGGAAAGUUCACACUGUGACGGUAUCUUACCAGAAAGGGACGGCUAACUACGUG
rnacentral:rRNA from 1 species